rnacentral:rRNA from 1 species
UACGGAGGGUGCAAGCGUUAUCCGGAUUUACUGGGUUUAAAGGGUGCGUAGGUGGGUCCGUAAGUCAGUGGUGAAAUCUCCGAGCUUAACUCGGAAACUGCCAUUGAUACUAUAGAUCUUGAAUUAUCUGGAGGUGAGCGGAAUAUGUCAUGUAGCGGUGAAAUGCUUAGAUAUGACAUAGAACACCAAUUGCGAAGGCAGCUCACUACGGAUUGAUUGACACUGAGGCACGAAAGCGUGGGGAUCAAACAGG